UACGUAGGGUGCAAGCGUUGUCCGGAAUUAUUGGGCGUAAAGAGCUCGUAGGCGGUUUGUCGCGUCUGCUGUGAAAACUCGAGGCUUAACCCCGGGCCUGCAGUGGGUACGGGCAGACUAGAGUGCGGUAGGGGAGGACUGGAAUUCCUGGUGUAGCGGUGAAAAUGCGCAGAUAUCAGGAGGAACACCGGUGGCGAAGGCGGGGUCUCUGGGCCGUAACUGACGCUGAGGAGCGAAAAGCGUGGGGGAGCGAAACAGGG
rnacentral:rRNA from 1 species